UACGAAGGGUGCAAACGUUGCUCGGAAUCAUUGGGCGUAAAGCGCACGUAGGCGGCGCUGCAAGUCGGACGUGAAAUCCCUCGGCUCAACCGAGGACGUGCAUCCGAAACUGCAGUGCUCGAGUAUGGAAGAGGGUCGCGGAAUUCUCGGUGUAGAGGUGAAAUUCGUAGAUAUCGGGAGGAACACCAGUGGCGAAGGCGGCUAUCUGGACCGACAUUGACGCUGAGGCGCGAAAGCGUGGGGAGCAAACAGG
rnacentral:rRNA from 1 species